GAGAAGACACUAGAUGCAACAAGCCCUGAGAAUAGCAGCCUUCUGAUCCUCCAUCUUCUGUCCUUCAGCAGCAAGGUGACAGGAUAGAGUUUCCAAACUAUCUGGAACAGGGCUGAGCACCCACUACCAGGAAGCACUGUGGACAGCCCUCUUCACCCUUCAGGAAGCCUGGUGGACAGCAGCAGCAUUACUGUCCUCCUCUCUCCUUUCCUCCUAGUAAUUGUGUAGUCUGUGUUGAGUUAUUCUCUGUGUAGUCCUCUGGAGCUCCAGAGCAGGCCGGUCCCCCUGGCCCCAAACCCCCAGGACCCUGCUCACUGGAUCAGACCCACUCUUCAUCCUCAAACCCCCAGGACCCUGCUCACUGGAUCAGACCCACUCUUCAGCCUCAAACCCCCAGGACCCUGCUCACUGGAUCAGACCCACUCUUCAUCCUCAAACCCCCAGGACCCUGCUCACUGGAUCAGACCCACUCUUCAGCCUCAAACCCCCAGGACCCUGCUCACUGGAUCAGACCCACUCUUCAUCCUCAAACCCCCAGGACCCUGCUCACUGGAUCAGACCCACUCUUCAGCCUCAAACCCCCAGGACCCUGCUCACUGGAUCAGACCCACUCUUCAGCCUCAAACCCCCAGGACCCUGCUCACUGGAUCAGACCCACUCUUCAGCCUCAAACCCCCAGGACCCUGCUCACUGGAUCAGCCACACACUUCAUUCUGUUCCCUCUGUUGUUUUUCUCUCUCAGGUUCUACAUCUUUCAGACUCCUCCCUACCCUAAAUGCUGCAGUAGAAAGUUGGUUGCCACGUUGAUGUCGUUGUUGGACGCUCUGAGGGCAUCCUGAGCAUCUAUUCUGGAGAAGCCCAUCUCCAUCAAUCUGGCAACCUAUGGGAAACAGAAAUAAACACACAAACAUCAGAGAAAUGCUAACACGAAACUGAAACCACCAAAAGACAUCCAGCCAACUUGACACAACUGUGGAAAGCAUUGGAGUCAACAUGGUCCAGCAUCCCUGUGGAACGCUCCUGACACCUUGAAGAGGACACGGCACCAACAAAUAACUUAGCUGGCAACAUGGCUAUUGUGUCAGUAACCACAGCCAUCAUUAACCAUAGACUACAAAUACAAAGCCUUGGAUACAGGUUAAAGAUUCACAAUUGAGAGCAUCCUGUCGGGCUGUAUCACCUAGUACGGCAACUGCACCGCCCGCAACCCCAGGGCUCUCCAGAGUGUGAUGCGGUCUGCCCAACGCAUCACCAGUGUCAAACUACCUGCCUCUACCUACAGCACCUGAUGUUACAGAUCAUAAAGGACAACAACCACCCGAGCCACUGCCUGUUCACCCCGCUAUCAUCCAAAAGGCGAGAAUAAAGGCCAUGUACACUUUAGAAGAGCCCUGCCUGCACAUCAGUUCAGAAGACCUUUAGAAGAGCCCUGCCUGCACAUCAGUUCAGAAGACCUUUAGAAGAGCCC